rnacentral:rRNA from 1 species
UACGUAGGUGGCGAGCGUUGUCCGGAUUUAUUGGGUUUAAAGGGUGCGUAGGCGGCGCGGUAAGUCGGGUGUGAAAUCUCGGAGCUUAACUCCGAAACUGCAUUCGAUACUGCCGUGCUUGAGGACUGGAGAGGAGACUGGAAUUCCUGGUGUAGCGGUGAAAUGCGCAGAUAUCAGGAGGAACACCGGUGGCGAAGGCGGCUUGCUGGGCCAGUUCUGACGCUGAGGAGCGAAAGCGUGGGGAGCGAACAGG